AAUAUUGGACAAUGGGCGCAAGCCUGAUCCAGCCAUACCGCGUGGGUGAAGAAGGCCUUCGGGUCGUAAAGCCCAAUUGUUGGCAAAGAAAUCCAGCUGGCCAAUACCCGGUUGGGAUGACGGUACCCACAGAAUAAGCACCGGCUAACUUCGUGCCAGCAGCCGCGGUAGUACGAAGGGUGCAAGCGUUAAUGGGAAUUCCUGGGCGUAAAGCGUGCGUAGGUGGUCGUUUAAGGCCGUUGUGAAAGCCCUGGGCUCAACCUGGGAACUGCAGUGGAUACUGGGAGACUAGAAUGUAGUAGAGAGUAGCGGAAUUCCUGGUGUAGCAGUGAAAUGCGUAGAGAUCAGGAGGAACAUACAUGGCGAAGGCAGCUACCUGGACCAACAUUGACACUGAGACACGAAAGCAUAGGGAGCAAA
rnacentral:rRNA from 1 species